rnacentral:tRNA from 1 species
GGAGAGGUGGCCGAGUGGCUGAAGGCGCUGCUCUCGAAAAGCAGUAAGCGUUUACGCGCUUCCAGGGUUCAAAUCCCUGCCUCUCCG